AAUAAAUUUACUUAAUUUAUAAUUUUAUAUAUCGUUGUUUUAAAAAUAUUUUUUAAUAAAAUUAAUAUUUUAAAAUUAAUAUUAGAAAUUAAAUCAGAUCAAGAUGUAGAUUAUAGUUAAGAAUAUAAUGGAUUACAAUAAAUUUAUUUAAAUGAAUAUUAAUUUGUAAUAGUUGAUUGAAGGUGGAUUUAAAUGUAAUUUUAUUUAAUUUGGUAAAAUGAUUAAAAAUUAAAAUAUGU
rnacentral:rRNA from 1 species